AAAAACCAGGGGUGGUACUGGUUCAACUCACGUUGCUAUUUAUACUGCUGCUGUGGCAGGGGGGUACAAGUCACUUCCUGACAUCUGGCUCUAAGGCCAUUGUGAAAGAAUGGCGGGCAAAGAUGGCAUGGGCUAAAAAGAUGCCAGAGGUGGAAUGUGGGAGUGCUAACAACAUUGACUCCAUCUGUGGGACGCCAUCUUGCACAGGUGGCACCACUUUGGAUAACUGGCGGCUAUCGGGUGCACAGAUGGUGCCACUUAAGAUAACUACCCAUGACCUCCCCACCACGCCCCUCACUCCAUAAGAGCUGGGGGAAGGUCCAGAUAAAGGCUGGGAAUAGGGGCGGAGAUUAGGAGCAUAUUACCGCCUGGAUCUUCCGUCCGUUGGCCCACUCGACUGCCUGCCGGUAAGUUACCCUGAAGAAAACACUGCGAACGGUAUAGAACAGCUUUGCUUCAUGUUUCGGUAUUAAUGUACCUUCCUGGUUUGGAGGAUACAUUAUAAACCUCCACCCCUUUCUAACACUUAGUACUUUUUAAAUUUUAAUGGCCCCCAAACAGAAAUUUCGAGAUACAAAUGAGGUCCAUGUCAGGCGCGUGGCUGACGGGUGGGCAAAUGGAUUUUCUUAGACGUUCCAGGAAACUUUUCAAUUACGGUGCACAACCACGCAUCUGUUUCCCCCGAGUAAGGCCACAUAAGUUGUCUUUUUACGUCUACUUAUGUAUAUACCUUCUGGCACCUGUAUUUCUUUGUCCUAUGUCAACGAGAUAGCUUUAAAAGGGCAGUGAGAAUAUCCAGGAGCUGGUCAGAGAAAUGCCUGUAGCUAGAGCUGCCAUGAGGGUGAAGAAAAAGAUUUCAUAGGAAAAUAAAAUCUAGAAGUAUCCUUUCAAAGGUGAGACAAAGGCUAAUAUUAAGAAGGGCUAGUUUUCCCAUGUUUUAAGAACUUGUACCGUUUACAAACGCCUUGUAAAGUCCUUCCACUAUUCUAAACUAGAGCUUUCUGGGUCACACACCACCAAAUCCUAGGUUCUCUCGUGGUAUUAAUCAGUGUUCCCCCAAAAAAAGAUGUUCCGUGAUCAGUUUUGGAUUAAAAUUUUUUAAUUAGCUAAGUAAAUUCCAAUGUUUCUCAAGCCUGAUGAGCAUUGCGUAUCUCCAAGAGGGAGAUAGGAUAUCAAGGACUUCUCUACGUUAUUAAUCAUAAAUUCUUACAGGGAAGUAUUAACAUCUAGAACACUAGUGUUCUAGGAUUUCACUUUUCUUCUUUUGGGGGACAGGUGGGGUCUUAAGAAACCCAAGUGGAGAUGCACAAAGUGGAAAGAAGGACAUCGCUUCAAUCCACACUCGUGCAUCUUACACAAAUACCCCAGCCAAUAAACCUAAAGCUGAAAGCGAAGAAAACCAAUUUAAUGUAUGAAAAAAUUGCCUUAAAAUGUGGUGCUAAGAGUUGACCAGUUUGCUGAUCAUGUUUAUAUGCGUCUGCAGGUCAAGGCCUCUGACAAUACUGACGGUUUCUGAGUGGCCAGAAAACGUUAUCCUUAAAACUAUCCUGUUUUGGGCACACAAGGUAAACAUUCUGGGCACCCAGUUUGGAAUCCAUCCUUAGGAAAUUAGCGAAUAACUCUGCGGAGAAAGACUCAGAGGACGUUAUCAAAAUCUACUGGAUUUGUCCAGCUAUGGGAAGAGGUUGAUGAUCCCAGGUGAAUUUUCCGUGGCACCUACCAGGUAGGCCCUUUUAAUAUAUACAUUAAGGUCCUCUUUUAUUUCUGGUAAUUUAAGUGUUAUUUCUAUGUUUUAUUUUCUUCAAUCAGGAACUCCAAUUAUACAGGUGUUGGGCCUCAGUACGUGUUCAUUUUAACCCCUUUUUUUCUCACCCUUUUAACUAACAGACCCCAUUUUCAUUUUCUAGAAUGCUUUCCUAAUUUUUAUCCAUGUCUCUUGUUAAAUUCUCAUUUGAAUUUGUUGACUUCUGGAUGUUUUGGUCAUAACUUCAGAGAUGAAUUUGCCUUUUUCUUUCUUUCCUGAGUCUAAAAUUCUAGUUUUGCUUUUUCCCUUUCUUGUCCUCUUUUUUUUUUUUUUAGUUUUUUUUUUAGUUUUUGAAUUUUUGACCUCUCAGUCUUGUAAUUAUUCAGCUUCAUGACUUAGGAGAAGCCAGAAGAGUUCAUGCAACUGAGGAUGAUUGGAGAGUCUCACAAGGAAAAGGUGACAAGCUCAAACUAAAACACGUUUAAGACCUCACUAGGCAAUUAGAUAUUAUUGCUGGUAAAGAUGAACAAAAAAAGAAACUCUAAAUGAACAUGUGGCAAAACAGGACUGUACUGAGGACUGAUGACACAAGUGAAGUAGAGAUUUAACAAAUGCUACACACGAUGUUACUGAAAGAGUCCAUUCUUGGAGGUGAUUGUGCUCCAUUUGGACACUCACAGUAGUGUCUGGGGUUCACUGAUCUGGAAUCAGUGUCUGGAUCAGUUGGUUUAUAGUUUUCAUCAAAUUUGAAAAUCUUUCUUUAAAUAUUUGUCAGAUGCCCCUUCUGGGGACUCCAAAUUGCAUACAUACAAAGCCACCUGAAAUUGUCCCACACCGCAGUGAUGUUCUGUUCACUGGUUUUGAAUUAUCUUUGUGUUUCCUUUGGACAGUUACUAUUGCAAUAUUCACAAGUUCACCGAUACGUUCUUCUCCAAGUUCUAAUUUGCUGUUAAUCUUAUCCAAUGGAUUUUUCACCUCAGACAAAGUAGUUUUCAUCUCUAGAAGUUUACUUUGGUUAUACCUUCCAUGUCCCUUUUUGAAUAAAUGUAAGAGUUACUAAGCUGCAACUAA